ACUGUAAAAUGACGGUUUUGCCCUUCUUUCGUUUCUCUCGCGCUCCUCUCUCUCUCUCUCAAAUAUCGAUCAAAUCUCUUGAUCGAGAUUGAGCCAGACGCACCGCUUUCAUCUUUCAGUUGCGAUUGAGCGGGCAACUUUUUGAUCAAAUCAGAGGAUCCGAUUGAGCAAUCAGAUAUCUUUGAGAUUUUGACCUUCAGGUGUUCUCGGCUGUGGUCUGCACAUCCGGAGGUCACUUGCUCUGUUCUUAGUCAUUCAACAGAGUCUUCAGAUCGCAGCCAGCCGCACUGUCUUGGGCUGAACACAGAGUGGAGCUACUUGAUGUUCAAGGGGAUUUAUUUUAUCACAUUGUGACGUUCAUAUAACAUACUUGGCUUGACCUCUGAUCUUGAAUUCAUUUGGAGCUUCAAUUCAUAGUUAUUUAGAUUAUAGAGAAUCAGAUUUUCAAGCCAAUUACAUAGAUACAGAAUGCUAAAAACAACAGCUGAAAGUUGAUGGAUCUACUGUUGGAUUGUCUCCUUGGAAAGGGCAUUCUGCUCUCCUUAGACAAGCAGAGUUAAAUACAUCGGUGGAUCUGCAUGUGAAUGAGGCAAUGACAGAAACGAGUUUGAAGCAGAAUCUCAGCCAAAAGAGGCUGAGGAAAGUGUGGUGAUUGAGCAGUCGGGAGUAGUUGAGAUUCCUGGACUAUGUUACAGAAACAUACCUGCUGUUGUUACAACUCCAAUUGGCCAAAUGUGCAGCUUGCGAUGGGUGAGGUUUUUGAUGCUGGGUUUGUUUUGGAUUACUUGCUUUUGGUCCAUAAAGCUUGGUGAUCAGUUUUCUGUAAUUUUAUGUCAGAAAUUGAAAUUUAAUGACCUGUUUGUGCAAUAUCAUUGUUUAAAUUCUGCAUGUGUGUAUUCUUCUCUGGAAAGAAGAACCCAGAUUGGUGAAUUAGUAGUCUAUAUCAAACCCAGAUCAGUAUCAAUGGGAAGAUUACUGCUUAGCUUCAAAGUUUGUCUUUCAAGCAAGCAUGGAUUACAAAAAAUUACUACAAUUAGGCAUUAUGAACUGGUUUGAAGCACUCCAUCAAUAUUUAAUGUUGCCUUUGUAUUAAUUAGUGCAAACUUCCGCUAAAGUUAACAAGCCCACAGCAACGCGCGGGCGCAUCCAACUAGUAGAUGACUAU